rnacentral:rRNA from 2 species
GUGCGAGACCGAUAGCGAACAAGUACCGUGAGGGAAAGAUGAAAAGAACUUUGAAAAGAGAGUUAAAGAGUACCUGAAACUGCUGAAAGGGAACCGAAUCGUAUCCAGUGUCUAUAAUCCAUGGCAUAUUUCAUUGGCGAGUGAGUGCGUGCAGCGUUUUGGAAGUGGUUUUCCGCUCCUGUCGUUGUUGUGCAUUUGCUUGCUGGUGCCCUGUGCUGUGGUGGGACGUCAGAGUCAGUUUGUGUGUCGCGGGAAAUGGUUAUUGGGGAGGUAGGUCGCUUCGGUGGCUAUUAUAUCCUGGUAACUAGUCGUCGUGGCUGAGACUGAGGUGCCUAC